AAAUUGAAGAGUUUGAUCAUGGCUCAGAUUGAACGCUGGCGGCAGGCCUAACACAUGCAAGUCGAGCGGUAGCACAGAGAGCUUGCUCUCGGGUGACGAGCGGCGGACGGGUGAGUAAUGUCUGGGAAACUGCCUGAUGG
rnacentral:rRNA from 3 species